rnacentral:rRNA from 1 species
UGAGUUUGGUCCUGGCUCAGAACGAACGCUGGCGGCGCGUUUUAAGCAUGCAAGUCGAGCGGUAAGGUCCUUCGGGACCCCAGAGCGGCGGACGGGUGAGUAACACGUGGAUAAUCUGCCUUCCAGUCCGGGAUAGCACAUGGAAACAUGUGAUAAUACCGGAUACGAUGUGCCUGCCACAUGGCGGGUGCAGGAAAGGUCCUGCGGGAUCGCUGGGAGAUGAGUCCGCGGCCCAUUAGCUUGUUGGCGGGGUAAAGGCCCACCAAGGCGACGAUGGGUAGCCGGCCUGAGAGGGUGGACGGCCACAUUGGGACUGAGAUACGGCCCAGACUCCUACGGGAGGCAGCAGUGGGGAAUAUUGGGCAAUGGGCGCAAGCCUGACCCAGCAACGCCGCGUGAAGGAAGAAGGCUUUCGGGUUGUAAACUUCUUUUGUCAGGGACGAGUAGAAGACGGUACCUGACGAAUAAGCCACGGCUAACUACGUGCCAGCAGCCGCGGUAAUACGUAGGUGGCAAGCGUUGUCCGGAUUUACUGGGUGUAAAGGGCGUGUAGCCGGGAGGGCAAGUCAGAUGUGAAAUCCACGGGCUUAACUCGUGAACUGCAUUUGAAACUGUUCUUCUUGAGUAUCGGAGAGGCAAUCGGAAUUCCUAGUGUAGCGGUGAAAUGCGUAGA